GAAAUGCGAUAAGUAAUGUGUAUUGCAGAAUUCAGUGAAUCAUCGAAUCUUUGAACGCACCUUGCGCUCCUUGGUAUUCCUUGGAGCAUGCCUGUUUGAGUAUCAUGAAAUCUUCAAAGUAAAUCUUUUGUUAACUCAAUUGGUUUCUACUUUGGUAUUGGAGGUCUUUGCAGCUUCACACCUGCUCCUCUUUGUUCAUUAGCUGGAUCUCAGUGUUAUGCUUGGUUCCACUCGGCGUGAUAAGUUAUCUAUCGCUGAGGACACUGUAAAAGGUGGCCAAGGUAAAUGCAGAUGAACCGCUUCUAAUAGUCCAUUGACUUGGACAAUACUUUUAUGAUCUGAUCUCAAAUCAGGUAGGACUACCCGCUGAACUUAAGC
rnacentral:misc_RNA from 1 species